UGGUCCAGUGGUUAGGACUCUGCACUUACACUGCAGGGGGCUUGGGUUCAAUCUCAG
rnacentral:tRNA from 1 species